UAGACAUAGAAAUGUGUGUAGACAGUAGAAUUAUGGUUACUAGCGUUGGGAAGAGUAGGGGAAAAGGGAGCUGAAAAGAGAUUGGUUUAUGGGUACAACAAUACAGUUAAAUAGAAGGAGUAAGUUCUGGUGGUGUUCAAUAGCACAGUAGGAGGACUACUUAAAAAUAAUUUAUUGUAUAUUUCCAAAUAGCCAGAAGAAAAGAUUUGGAAUGUUCCCCAAAGA